rnacentral:rRNA from 1 species
AUGUASAUUCCUACAGUGAUAAUGUACCAGAUCCCAAAAGUCCAUAGUUAAGCACACUUGGGCUAGAGUAGUAUUGGUAUAGGUGACCUCCCGAGAAUUCCUAGUGUUUUAYAUA